rnacentral:rRNA from 1 species
UACGAAGGGGGCUAGCGUUGCUCGGAAUCACUGGGCGUAAAGGGUGCGUAGGCGGGUUUUUAAGUCAGGGGUGAAAUCCUGGAGCUCAACUCCAGAACUGCCUUUGAUACUGAAGAUCUUGAGUCCGGGAGAGGUGAGUGGAACUGCGAGUGUAGAGGUGAAAUUCGUAGAUAUUCGCAAGAACACCAGUGGCGAAGGCGGCUCACUGGCCCGGUACUGACGCUGAGGCACGAAGGCCAGGGUAGCGAAAGGG